GAUGAAGAACGCAGCGAAAUGCGAUAAGUAGUGUGAAUUGCAGAAUUCAGUGAAUCAUCGAAUCUUUGAACGCACAUUGCGCCCGCCAGUAUUCUGGCGGGCAUGCCUGUCUGAGCGUCAUUUCAACCCUCGCAACCAGCUUGCUGGAUGCGGUGUUGGGGAUCGGCCCCCCGUACUGGGAGGCCGUCCCUUAAAUAGAGUGGCGGUUGCGCUGUGACCUCCUCUGCGUAGUAGCAAUAUCUCGCAGGCGGAUAGCGGUGUAACCACGCCGUAAAACCCCCAACUCUUCUUUGGUUGACCUCAGAUCAGGUAGGAAUACCCGCUGAACUUAAGCAUAUCAAUAAGCGGAGGA
rnacentral:misc_RNA from 1 species